UCAGUGCCCUUACUACUGAACUAGGGAACAGAUUGAGACGCACCCAUAGACAGAUUUCUGUCUACGCUGAAUUUUCUAGGGCCUCUAAAAGCUUUGUGCAUUAUAAAGACAAAUUUAAGAUCUUCACUGCGUUAUAAGUAAUGAUUUUAUUCAUUUUUAUCAUGGAGGCAAAAGGACAUUGAUGAGGGUUUAGUGGACAUGAUCAUCAAGGAUUCACAGCCAUUUUCAGUGGUGGAAGAUGAGGGAUCUAACAUAUUGGCUUUUUUAUAGGAAGCACAUAAGACUCCUCUACUUGUGAGAAAACAAUUACAUGCACUGAAGGACAUGGUUGCUGCAAGGUCCAACACAACAAAAGAGAUUUCUGAAUGCAGUGCAUAGAUCCAUGCUACAGCUACACGGUCACCACUGGAAUCACCCCAGCCUGCUGUCCUUCAGCAGAAGGACAGGGAGAUGAUGGGGAGGAAAACCCAUGGGAUCCCCUGGACCAUAAAAUAGGGGAGACACAAAGAGUCCACACGUCACUGCUGAUGCAUCUUCUGAGGUGCGCCGUUACUUGAAUGCGCCAUAUCACACCAGAACAAGUGAUCCACUGGACUACUGGGAAAAACACCAGACGAUAUUUCCUCAUCUGUUCCACCUGGCCAAGAAAUAUCCUGUCAAGACCAGCAACAUCUGUGCAAUGCAAAAGAUUUUUGUCUAAAGCAGGGGAAGUUCUUUGUAUAGAAAUAAUAAUACAAAAUAUUUAAAAUGCUAAAACAGUGGAACAGCUUAUUUUCCUAAAUAAAAAUUCUUAAUGACA